rnacentral:lncRNA from 1 species
CGGGAAAGGACAGAAAUGUGGACUAUUAAUGCCAUCUAGGUGAUUGAUCAAGAACUACGAAAUUCCAGUGCUGUUUCUGAACCAGAGCUUCUCAAACCUUAAUGUGCAAACGCAUCAUCAAGGGAUCAGAUUAUGAAUUGGAAGAAAUCUCAGAUUUUACAUGUUCCAGCUUCCUUCUGCCAGUCAGACGAAUGAUGGUAAAACUGAAAAAACAGUGUCAGCCAGAGGAUCUCACUGAGUAAAUCACGUGACGCAGAGAGCGGUGGGAGGGCAGUAAACAUGUCUACGGAAAUGGCUGACAAGUACUG